rnacentral:rRNA from 1 species
UACGAAGGGGGCUAGCGUUGCUCGGAAUCACUGGGUGUAAAGGGUGCGUAGGCGGGUCUUUAAGUCAGGGGUGAAAUCCUGGAGCUCAACUCCAGAACUGCCUUUGAUACUGAGGAUCUUGAGUUCGGGAGAGGUGAGUGGAACUGCGAGUGUAGAGGUGAAAUUCGUAGAUAUUCGCAAGAACACCAGUGGCGAAGGCGGCUCACUGGCCCGAUACUGACGCUGAGGCGCGACAGCGUGGGGAGCAAACAGG